rnacentral:lncRNA from 1 species
CCUGAAUGUCACCAACCCCAUGGGAAAGGGUCCUGGUGGCAUCUGGGAGCUGUCACACCCCCCUGGGGACAAGCUGGGGGUCCUGGGUGUCCCCAACCCAUGGAAAAGGGUCCUGGUGGCACUUGGGGCCUGUCACACCCCCCUGAGUGUCCCCAACCCCAUGGAAAAGGGUCCUGGUGGCACCUGGGGGCUGUCUCUGGGGGUCCUGGUGGAACCUGGGGGCUGUCACACCCCUCUGGGGACAAGCUGGGGGUCCAGGGUGUCCCCAACCCAUGGAAAAAAGGUCCUGGUGGCACCUGGGGGCUGUCACAUCCCCCUGAAUGUCACCAACCCCAUGGGAAAGGGUCCUGGUGGCACCUGGGAGCUGUCACACCCCCCUGGGGACAAGCUGGGGGUCCUGAAUGUCCCCAACCCAUGGAAAAGGGUCCUGGUGGCACUUGGGAGCUGUCACACCCCCCUGAGUGUCCCCAACCCAUGGAAAAGGGGUCCUGGUGGCACCUGGGGGCUGUCAUAUCCCUCUGGGGACAAGCUGGGGGUCCUGGGGGUCCCCAAUCCCAUGGAAAGGGGUCCUGGUGGCACCUGGGGGUUGUCACACCCCCCUGGGGACAUGCUGGGGGUCCUGGAUGUCCCCAGGUUACAAAAAAAAGGUCCUGGUGGCACUCGGGGGCUGCCACGCCCUGCUGGGGGUCCAGGGUGUCCCCAACCCAUGGAAAAGGGUCCUGGUGGCACUUGGGGGUUGUCACACCCUCUUGGGUGUCCCCAACCCAUGGAAAAAAGGUCCUGGUGGCACUUGGGGGCUGUCACACCCCCCUGGGGACAAGCUGGGGGUCCUGGGUGUCCCCAACCCAUGGAAAAGGGUCCUGGUGGCACUUGGGGCCUUUCACAUCCCCCUGAAUGUCCCCAAUCCCAUGGAAAAGGGUCCUGGUGGCACCUGGGGGCUGUCUCUGGGGGUCCUGGUGGCACCUGGGGGCUGUCACAUCCCCCUGAAUGUCCCCAGUCCCAUGGGAAAGGGUCCUGGUGGCACCUGGGGGCUGUCACACCCCCCUGAGUGUCCCCAACCCAUGGAAAAAUGGUCCUGGUGGCACCUGGGGGCUGUCUCUGGGGGUCCUGGUGGCACCUGGGGGCUGUCACACCCCUCUGGGGACAAGCUGGGGGUCCUGGGUGUCCCCAACCCAUGGAAAAGGGUCCUGGUGGCACUUGGGGCCUGCCACAUCCCCC